UUGUGUUUUACAGGCCAAGAGCUGACCCAUCUCCUCUUUAAUUCACAAGCUGUCUCCUGACUGCAAAUUGUCAAAAACAGCUCCAACAUGGCAGUGUCUGGAGUUGGAAUGCUUACACCCAAAUGAGCUUUCAGGAAACAGCCAAUAUUCACAAACCAGAUCCCAGCACUUCGAGAAUUCCAUCACCAAGAUCUCCCUACAGGGGAAGGCGGCUCAGGUAAGAUUCCUGUCUCUGUGCACUGCC
rnacentral:lncRNA from 1 species